UAGGAAUGUACCUUAAAGAGGGGACAACCUGGGGAAACUCAGGCUAAUACCGCAUAAUCUCUGAGGAGAGAAGCUAGGGACCGUAAGGCCUGGCGCUUUAAGAACAGCCUGCGUCCGAUUAGCUAGUUGGUGGGGUAAGAGCCUACCAAGGCGACGAUCGGUAGCUGGUCUGAGAGGAUGAUCAGCCACACUGGAACUGAGAUACGGUCCAGACUCCGUACGGGAGGCAG
rnacentral:rRNA from 1 species